rnacentral:rRNA from 1 species
GAUGAACGCUGGCGGCGUGCCUAAUACAUGCAAGUCGAGCGAACAGACGAGGAACUUGCUCCUCUGACGUUAGCGGCGGACGGGUGAGUAACACGUGGAUAACCUACCUAUAAGACUGGGAUAACUUCGGGAAACCGGAGCUAAUACCGGAUAAUAUAUUGAACCGCAUGGUUCAUUAGUGAAAGACGGUUUUGCUGUCACUUCUAGAUGGAUCCGCGCCGCAUUAGCUAGUUGGUAAGGUAACGGCUUACCAAGGCAACGAUGCGUAGCCGACCUGAGAGGGUGAUCGGCCACACUGGAACUGAGACACGGUCCAGACUCCUACGGGAGGCAGCAGUAGGGAAUCUUCCGCAAUGGGCGAAAGCCUGACGGAGCAACGCCGCGUGAGUGAUGAAGGUCUUCGGAUCGUAAAACUCUGUUAUUAGGGAAGAACAAAUGUGUAAGUAACUAUGCACGUCUUGACGGUACCUAAUCAGAAAGCCACGGCUAACUACGUG